AGGAUUAACGCUGGCGGCGUGCAUGAAACAUGCAAGUCGAGCGCGGUGUGAUGCGGGGUAACCCAAUUCACAUCUAGCGGCGAACGGGUGAGUAACACGUGAGCAACCUACCUUUGAGUUGGGGAUAGCCCUGGGAAACCAGGAUUAAUACCCGAUGUGGUCACAACAGGACAUCCUGAUGUGAGUAAAGGCGUAAGCCGCUCAAUGACGGGCUCGCGGCCUAUUAGCUUGUUGGUGGGGUAACGGCCUACCAAGGCGAUGAUGGGUAGCUGGUCUGAGAGGACGAUCAGCCACACUGGGACUGAGACACGGCCCAGACUCCUACGGGAGGCAGCAGUUAGGAAUUUUCCGCAAUGGGCGAAAGCCUGACGGAGCAACGCCGCGUGAGUGAUGAAGACCUUCGGGUUGUAAGCUCUGUCGGAGGGGAAGAACACAAUGACGGUACCCUCCAAGAAAGCCCGGCUAACUACGCGCCAGCAGCCGCGGUAAU
rnacentral:rRNA from 1 species